GCUUAGGGGACUGUCACGUGACGAACGAAGGACUCAAACCCGAAGACUCGAGAGAUGAACUAAUCAAUUCUCUUUCCGGCUCAGGCUGCAUUGGUUAAGCUUAUGGGGCUGUCACGUGAUGAACGAACGACUCAGACCCGAAGACUCGAAACAGGUGAACUAAUUUCAGUACAGAACCUAUAGGAUGUUGCUCAUGCGCGACUGAACGAAUCACUCCCCGAGACGACUCGUUCUUCCCGAGUCACAUUAAAAAUGAACGAGUCACAUUCAAAAUGAACGAAUCGUUCAAGAACGACCCAUCACUAGUCAGAACUAAUUUUACACAGCAGGAUUUUGAACCGCCGACAGGUCCAGAUAUUUAGCAUGCCAAAUAUUUCACGAGCAUCGGUGAUUCUCUCAGAUCGCGUCUUUGAUAAUUCACUCUGCGUGAUUGUCACUCGCGUGAACGAGCACAGAUUUGCCUCCGAUUUCAGGCAUUUGUCUGUGAUUUCGCAAAACCUGUCGGCGCGUGAAAAAUCGGGCUAAAAUCGUGCAGUGUUAACUCGGCAUAAGGGCAAAACAUUUGUGAAACAGAGGAAAAGCACUUAAAUCAUUCAACCGUUUUCGCUAGGCUAAGAUAACAGCAGACUGAAAAAGCAUAGUUCCUUUUCACUUUGAUAGUCAUACCUUGUGUCCAAUCAGAAACGAGCAUGUGACGUUCAAUAAGGACCUACCCUUUCCGUUUUGAGUUAAUGUUGUGUUUUUGAUUUAGUUGUUGUGUUAUUUUAUUUGCUGUUGCGUUUUUCGUUUGUCUAAGUGUUUUGCACUUUAGGGCCACCAUAUUAAACAUGUUUAACACCUUAAAACAUAAGAUUAAAUAUAGCACCAGACAAUAUAGAUGGUAAUUUCCUUAAACUCGCCCUGAUGUCGCUGCUUGCUUGCUUCCAUGAUUUAUCGACCAGUGCAUGAAGAGGAAAAAAUUUGAAAUUCAGAUCAUGCGUAACUGAAGACCUCUACUCUGUCUACAGUCAGCAGACAGGGCGGCCCUCACGUGUGAAGGUCGGACAUCAAGGAGUCAAGACACCUAUGUCACAAUUACCUGCGACUAUUUACGUGAUGACUGGGUUCUCAUUUCAAAUGUGUUGCAGACCAAGGCUAUGCAGGCUAGCCACACAGGGGCAAAUAUAUGUGGAAUGCUUUCACAGGCUUUGGAAGAGUGGGAGCUCACUAAGAAAGAUCUCUUAUUGUGACAGACAAUGCUGCCAACAUGAUACUUACCUUGGAGAUGAUGGAGCUGCACCAUUUUGGCUUCAUUGCUCACACAGUAAAUCUGGUAUCGCAAGCUGUGCUGACACUUCCAGACGUCUCUCGGUUGCUUGGUUGAGUUAGGUGCAUAGUGUCAUUCUUUCAUAGGAGCAUAAAGUUUUCAAAGAAAAACAAAUGUUACUGAACUUACCUUGUCACAAGCUUAAAAUUGGCAUGGUGACCAGGUGUAACAGCACGCUGGAUAUGCUCGACAGAUUUUUGGAACAGCAACCAUCAAUACACUGCUUUCUCCUGAAAUCCGCAGGAGCAAAAAGGACCUUUGCACCCUGGCAGGGGCAGAAAUAAUGGUGGCAGAGGACAUUGUGAAAGCUCUUCAGCCUAUGAAGGCUGCAACGCUAGCAUUGUCUAGGGAAAGUUCCACUACCCUAUCUGUCAUUGCACCAUUGCAUGCACAGCUACUUGAGGAGCCAGACUACCAGUGAUUCCGCUGUCAUUAAGGAACUCAAAUCUGCUGUGCACAACAACUUGACGUUCAGAUAUGCAAAUCUGAAAGAGAAGCUGCAUGUUGCAUCUGCACUUGACCUUUGUAUCAAGACCCUUCCUUUUAUGUUUGACAAGGACUGAGAGGACUCAUUCACAAAAUUAAUUACAGAGAUAGUCACAUUGGAGCAAGUUAAGACACAUGAUCAGCAAGGAUCUGAUAGUGCUGGUAUUGGAGGAAGUGCACCUGUACAGGGGCAAAAAUCCCUUGGUGAUGACCUCUCCCCACCAUAGAGGUCAAAAGAAUCUUGAGCACUGUUGGAUAUGCUUGGGGCAGCCUUUGCACGAGUGGCUACAGGGGCCUAAUGCUGCAGACAGGGCACAAGAAGAAGUCAUCAAAUACAGGGAAGUUACACCUGUACCUCUCUCAGAAGAUCCACUUAAGUGGUGCACUAUGGAUGAAGUGUGUCCUAUCAGUUUUGUAGCAUUUGACUGAAUCUGAGCAGAAAAAAUAGCUCUAUACAUGUCAGAAUUCAUCCUGCUAAUUCACAUCAUCAUUAAACACCAGUGACCCAGUUCCAUUAGCAGCCAUACAUGCCCAUGCCAUAACACUGCCUCCAAAUGUUUGACAGAUGAUGUGGUAUGCUUUGGAUCAUGAGCCAUUCCUUUCCUUCUCCAUCUCUUCUCUUACCAUCAUUCUGGUACAAGUUAAUCUUGCAACCGAAUUGGUCAGGCGUUUUUCUGUUCUUGAGUGUUACCAGUGGGUUGCAUCUUGAGGUAAACCAUCUGUAUUUACAUUCAUGAAGGCGUCUAUUGAUUGUAGACUUUUACAGUGAUACGCCUACCUCCUCCAGAGUGUUGACUUGACUUGGUUAGAUAUUGUGAGCGGGUUUUCUUCACCAAGGAACGAAUUCUGUGAUCAUCCAAUUUAGUUGUCUUCUGUGGCUCUCUGAUAGGUCUGUUUUGGUUUUUCAGCCUAAUGAUGGCCUCCUUCACUUGCAUCAACACCUCUUUGGACUGCAUAGUGAAAGUUCCCAUGGACAGCUACCAAAUGUAAAUUCAACACUUGAAACUCCAGACCUUUUAUCUCUUUAAUUUGUGAUUAAAUAACGAGGACACAGGCCACACCUGGCCAUGAAACUUUUUAUCAGUCAGUUCUCUAAAUAUUUUUGAGAUAAAUGUAGGGAACAUGUAAAAAAAAUGGCUAUAAUUCCUAAACGGUUAAUGCAAUAUUUCUGUUAUACCCCUGAAUUAAAGCUGAAAAUCUACACUUCAAUCACAUUGCUUCAUUUCAAAUUCAUUGUGGUGGUGUACAGAGGCAAAAUUGUGUCACUGUCCAAAUACUUAUGGACCUGACUGUACAUGCACAUCCAUGUCAUACUAUUACUAGAGGAUUUUCACUUUGUAAUGAUGAAAAAUGUGAUUGUUUAUAUUCAGGAAAGCUGUUUUUUCCCCAAGUAAACACAUACAUGCAUGUCCGUGUCAAAAUGUGAAAAAUCAUGUGUAGAAAGAUACUUUUCAUGAAAUAUGCACUCACUCAUCUCAAUGAAUGCCUAUUUGAUUACACAAGAGUGUGAAUAAGGGGCUGAAAAUGUGUUAUAGCAAGUUUCAAGGCACUAAGCCUUCAGGAAAGCUGUUUUUCAUGCAAACACAGACAUGCAUGUCCGUGUCAUACUUUAAUAGAGGUUUUUCAGUGUUAUGAUAGAAAAUUAUAUGAAACAUGAAUGUUUACUUUAAAAUUUGUAUGUUGAUCAUACUGUGUUAAAAAGUCAAAAACAUGAAAAAUCAUGUGUAGAAAGGUACUUUUCAUCAAAUAUGCACUCACUCAUCUCAAUGAAUGCCUAUUUGAUUACACAAGAGUGUGAAUAAGGGGCUGAAAAUGUGUUAUAGCAAGUUUCAAGGCACUAAGCCUUCAGGAAAGCUGUUUUUCAUGCAAACACAGACAUGCAUGUCUGUGUCAUACUUUAAUAGAGGUUUUUCAGUGUUAUGAUAGAAAAUUAUAUGAAACAUGAAUGUUUACUUUAAAAUUUGUAUGUUGAUCAUACUGUGUUAAAAAGUCAAAAAUAUGAAAAAUCAUGUGUAGAAAGGUACUUUUCAUCAAAUAUGCACUAACUCACUCUUUUCUCAGUGAAUUCCUUUGUGAUUACACAAAAGUGUGAAUAAGGCACUGCAAAUAGGUUUUAGCAUUUUUCAAGGCACUAGGGCUUCAGGAAAGCCAUGUUUCUGUACAUACAUGUAUUUCUGUGUCAUAUUUUUAAUAGAGGUUUUUCACAGUGUUAUGGUAGAAAAUUAUAUGAAACAUGAUUGUUUAUGUUAAAAUUCAUAUCGAUCAUAUUGAUCAUAAUGUGUUAAAAAGUCAAAAUGUUUAAAAAAUAUUGUGUAGAAAGGUAAUUUUCUUCAAAUAUGCACUAAUGCACUGUUUUCUCACUGAAUACCUUUGUGCUUAAACAGCUCUGUGUGUUAGGCACUUGAAAAUGCAUUUUCACAAGUUUCAAGGUGCUAGAGCUUCAGGAAAGCUGUUUUUUCCCCACGCAAACAUAUACAUGCACAUCCAUGUCAUACUUUUCAUAGACGUUUUUUUUUUUCAUUUUGUUAUGAUUAAUUAUAUGAAACAUGAUUAUUUAUAUUAAAAUUAAUGUAAUAUAAUAUUGAUAAUAAAGUGUUAAAAAGUGUUAAAAACUCCUGAAAAACAACCCCACACCAUAAUUCCUCCUCCACCAAAUUUCACACUCGGCACAAUGCAGUCCGAAAUGUACCGUUCUCCUGGCAACCUCCAAACCCAGACUCGUCCAUCAGAUUGCCAGAUGGAAAAGCGUGAUUCAUCACUCCAGAGAACGCGUCUCCACUGCUCUAGAGUCCAGUGGCGGCGUGCUUUACACCACUGCAUCCGACGCUUUGCAUUGCACUUGGUGAUGUGUGGCUUGGAUGCAGCUGCUCGGCCAUGGAAACCCAUUCCAUGAAGCUCUCUGCGUACUGUACUUGGGCUAAUCUGAAGGUCACGUGAAGUUUGGAGCUCUGUAGCAAUUGACUGUGAAGAAAGUCGACGACCUCUUUGCACUAUGCGCUUCAGCAUCCGCUGACCCCUCUCCGUCAGUUUUCGUGGCCUACCACUUCGUGGCUGAGUUGCUGUUGUUCCCAAACUCUUCCAUUUUGUUAUGAUAAAGCUGACAGUUGACUGUGGAAUAUUUAGGAGCGAAGAAAUUUCACGACUGGAUUUGUUACACAGGUCGCAUCCUAUGACAGUUCCACGCUGGAAUUCACUCAGCUCCUGAGAGCGGCCCAUUCUUUCACAAAUGUUUGUAAAAACAGUCUGCAUGCCUAAGUGCUUGAUUUUAUACACCUGUGGCCAGGCCAAGUGAUUAGGACACCUGAUUCUGAUCAUUUGGAUGGGUGACCGAAUACUUUUGGUAAUAUAGUGUUAUUAUACAUAUUGGUAAUAUGUUUUAAUUUUAAGUUUCAAGGCACUUGGACUUCACAAAAGCAUUUUUUCAAAAAAAAAAAUCAUGCAUGAGGCUGCAUGACAUACCUUUAAUAGUGUUUUUUUUACAUUGUUAUGAUGGAAAAUGAUAUGAAACAUGAUUGCUUAUAUUAAAAUUUACAUUGUGAUAACAUAUUUUAAAAAAACAUGAAAAAUUAUUUGUAGACAUACAUUGUACAUCCGUAUUAUAUUUUUCACAGAGGAUUUUUACAUUGUUAAAAUGGAAAAUUAUAUGAAAUAUGAUUCUUUAUAUUAAAAUUCGUAUUUUGAUAAUAAAGUGGUAAAAAGUCCAAAUGCAAAAAGCCUUGUGUAGAAAGGAACUUUUCAUCAAAUAUGCAAUAACACACUCUUUUCUCAACCAAUACCUUUGUGCUUACCCAGGUGUGUGCAUUAGGCAAAAGGUGCUAAGAGCUUGGGAAAGUAGUGUUUUUUAACAACUACAUACACGUGCAUGAAAUACCGUUCAAUGACAGUUUUCUCAUGUUUAUGAUGUUGAAUGAUAAGAAAUGUUAUUUAGAUUAACAAACAUAAUUUGAAUAUAGUGCUAAAAAUUCAAAAUCAUGAUAAAUAAAGUUUAAAAAGUCAUUAUUCAUCCAAUAUACACAAACACACUAUUUUCUUAACAGACCUCUAUGUGCAAACACAAGGGUGUGCUUUAGGCGCUAAAAACGCUAUUUAGACAGUGUCAAGAUGCUUAAAGCUUGGGAAAGUGUUUUUUUCUAUCAAGUGCAUGUAUACAUGUGCAUGAAAUUCUUUUCAAUUACAUUUUUCAAUAAUACGAAAUAUGAUUGUUUACAUUAAAAUGUAUAAUUUGAUAAAUUGUUAAAAACUCAAAAUCUUGAAAAUAAAUGUUCAGAAAUGUUCAGAAAAUAAAUGUUCAUCCAAUAUAUACAAUCACACUGGUUUCUUACACAACACAAGUGAGCGCUGUAGGCGCUGAAAACGCGAUUUAGUCAAUUUCAAGGAGCUUGGGAACUGGGAUAGGAGUUUUCUAAAAAACACAUUCAUAAACUUACAUGAAAUACAUUUUCAAUAACAUUUUUAUAUGUUUAUAAUAAACAAAAAUACGAAAUAUGAUUGUGUACAUGAAAAUGCAUAGUUGGUGUAGGAGCCAUGCUUACCAUCUUAUUUAAUUUUUCUUAUAUGUUCAUUUAAAUAUUAGUUUGCUGCUAUAUUGUUAAUGUUGUUUAUUUCUCUGAGUGUGUGCCCUCUAUAGGUGUAACGAAUCCGGCCUCUGUGGUUCCCCCUGAUCGUCACCAGAGGUCACCAUCACCCGAGUAUUGACUUUCCUCUUUAAACUACAUUUCCCAUCACCCCGCGCCCAGCACUGAUUACGAGCUCACCUGCAGCCUAUUACCGGGACUACUUAAGCCUCUGCUGCUCGCUCACUCUUUGCGAAGUCUUGUUUUGCCCUGGCUGACAUUUCUGAGCGUUUGUAUCUUCUUUGUUGGAUUACCGUGUUUGACCUUGGACUGUUAUUUCUCGUUUCUGGAUUCUUUGCUGCCUACCCUGACCAUCUGCCUGUUUGAUUACUCUGCCUUUGUCUCGCCUCUGAUCACCCUGUUUUGCUGUUGCUUGACCACGCCUGUACGACUGUGUCUGACUUUUAUUAAACGCUGCUAAUGGAUCCCCAUUCUGUUGACUCCUCGUUACAAUAGGUGUAGAGCAUACAGUCUUUUGAUCGAGUGCAUGGAGCUAAGAUGGCAUGGUGCAACAAGCCUGCAAUUAGCCUUUAAGUUGUUUGUUUGUUUUAUGUUGCAAUUCAAGUUAAUUUUGGUUUAAACAACUUCAGUUAUUGUUUGGAACCUCAACAAGCCUUUCUGGAUCUAUUCAUGCUACUUUGCACGUGUUAAAUUAUUGCAUCAACACCUCCCACAGUGGCCAAGAAACAAGGGACAAAAUUGGAAAUUUGGAACAUGUUUUUUACCACUACAUCAUGUCAAAAGACUCUGCUUUGAAAAUGGAAUUUGUUUGAGAAGAGGAUUACUUUUGUACUUGAAUGGAAUAGACUGUUUGAGACCACAUGGAAAUGAGACUGCAUGGCAUUGGAGGCAGCAAACAAAGGAAACUUCUCAAAGAGGUAUGUGCUUGAGGAUGCAAUUUGCUGAGCUAAUGCUAAGUUAAAUUUGAAUGUUAUUGGAAAGACUUUCAAGUUUGGUGCUGCAGACAGUGGAUGAAAGAAUUCGUUUGAAGAAUUCAAAGAUUUUGAUGUGUGUAAUUUUUAAAGAAGAAUCAAAGGAGAUUUGAAAAGGUUUUACGUUAUUGGAAAGAGAAUAUUUGCUUGUUUUGAGGCAAAAUGGAGGAGUCUGAUGUAGAACAAUCCCCUAGCUCAGCUCAGAAGGACUUGAAUGAGGUUAAUCCUCAUUUGCUGGCACAUCUUACGAGGCAAAUGAAUAUUGUUAAUUCUUUGAUGGCUGAUGCUGAAUAUUUGGAAGAAGUAAAGGGGAACAUGUUGAAGUUCAGUGAACAGCUUGAUGAAUUCAAGUCUCUUCAAGAAUCCUAUGUUCAAGUGUUAAGUGAAGAGGAUAAAGCUGAAGACUUGAAAACCUGGUAUGAACCAAGAAUUAAGCAAACAAGUUUCUUCUGCUCUAAAAGCGUCUGACCAGCUAAAUGAAGAUAAUGCCUCAGUGGUUUUGUCUGUCCGUAGUAAUAGAUCUGGCAGGUCCAGCAGAUCAAGUUCAAGCAGAACAAGUGUGUCAACAUCAGCUUCAGCAUGUAGAGUUAGGUCCAUAAAUAUUGGGACAGUGUCACAGUUUUGGUAAUUUUGCCUCUGUACACCACCACAGUUGAUUUGAAAUGAAGCAGUCAAGAAGUGACUGAAGCAUAGACUUUCAGCUUUAAUUCAAGGGGUUUAACAAAAAUAUUGCAUUAACCGUUUAGGAAUUACAGCCAUUUUUUACAGAGUUCCUCCAUUUUCACAGGCUCAAAAGUAAUGGGACAAACUAAUAUAAUCAUAAAUAUUAGGAUUAUUUUUAUUACUUGGAGGUAAAUCCUUUGCAGUCAAUGAAUACCUGAAGUCUGGACCCCAUGGACAUCACCAAAUGCUGAGUUUAUUCCCUUGAGAUGAUUUGCCAGGUCUUUACUGCAGCCAUCUUCAGUUGCUGCUUGUUUGUGUGGGUCAUUCUGCCUUCAGAUUUGUCUUCAGUAAGUGAAAAGCAGCUCAGUUGGGUUGAGGUCAGGUGACUGACUCGGCCAUUUAAGAACAUUUAAUUUCCAAGCUCUUGGGGCUGCUUUCACAGUAUGUUUUGGGUUGUUAUCCAUCUGUACUGUGAAGCGCUGUCCUAUCAGUUUUGCAGCAUUGACUGAAUCUGAGCAGAAAGUAUAGCUCUGUACACUUCAGAAUUCAUCCUGCUACUUCUAUCAACAGUCACAUUAUCAAUAAUCCCCAGUGACCCAGUUCCAUUGGCAGCCAAACAUGCCCAUGCCAUAACACUGCCUCCACAUGUUUGACAGAUGAUGUGGUAUGCUAUGGAUCAUGAGCCAUUCCUUUCCUUCUCCAUACUUUUCUCUUCCCAUCAUUCUGGUACAAGUUAAUCUUGCAUCAGAACUGGUCAGGCUUUUUUUAGAGGUUUUUUAGCAAAGUCUAAUCUGGCCUUUGUGUUCUUGAGUGUUACCAGCGGUUUGCAUCUUGAGGUAAACUGUCUGUAUUUACAUUCAUGAAGGUUGCUCUUGAUUGUAGACUUUGACAAUGAUAGGCCUGCGUCCUCCAGAGUGUUCCUGACUUGGCUAGAUGUUGUGAAGGGGUUGUUCUUCAAUAAGAAGAAUUCUGCAAUCAUCCACUUUAGUUGUUUUCUGUGGUCUCCCAGGCCUUUUGGUGUUGCUGAGCUCGCCAGUGCAUUCCUUCUUUUUAAGAAUGUACCAAAUUGUUGAUUUGGCCCUCCUAAAGUUUCUGCUAUCUCUCUGAUAGGUCUGUUUUGGUUUUUCAGCCUAAUGAUGGCCUCCUUCACUUGCAUCAACACCUCUUUGGACGGCAUAUUGAGAGUUCCAUGAACAGCUAUCAAAUGCAAAUUCAACACUUGGAAUCAGCUCCAGACCUUUUAUCUCCUUAAUUUAUCAUGGAUGGAUGCAUGUGCAAAGUAUGGAUAUAAGGAGGAAACAGGCCCCAGCUGGCCAUGAAACUGCUUAUCAGUCA